rnacentral:rRNA from 1 species
CUUACCAACCCGAUGCAAACUACGAAUACCGAAGAAUGUUAUCACGGGAGACACACGGCGGGUGCUAACGUCCGUCGUGAAGAGGGAAACAACCCAGACCGCCAGCUAAGGUCCCAAAGUCACAGUUAAGUGGGAAACGAUGUGGGAAGGCACAGACAGCCAGGAUGUUGGCUUAGAAGCAGCCAUCAUUUAAAGAAAGCGUAAUAGCUCACUGGUCGAGUCGGCCUGCGCGGAAGAUGUAACGGGGCUAAACUGUGCACCGAAGCUGCGGCAGCGACACUAUGUGUUGUUGGGUAGGGGAGCGUUCUGUAAGCCUGCGAAGGUGGCCUGUGAGGGUUGCUGGAGGUAUCAGAAGUGCGAAUGCUGACAUAAGUAACGAUAAUGCGGGUGAAAAGCCCGCACGCCGGAAGACCAAGGGUUCCUGUCCAACGUUAAUCGGGGCAGGGUGAGUCGACCCCUAAGGCGAGGCCGAAAGGCGUAGUCGAUGGGAAACAGGUUAAUAUUCCUGUACUUGGUGUUACUGCGAAGGGGGGACGGAGAAGGCUAUGUUAGCCGGGCGACGGUUGUCCCGGUUUAAGCAUGUAGGCGGAGGUUCCAGGUAAAUCCGGUACCUUUUAACGCUGAGGUGUGAUGACGAGGCACUACGGUGCUGAAGUAACAAAUGCCCUGCUUCCAGGAAAAGCCUCUAAGCAUCAGGUAACA